AUUUUAAUGGUUAAGGCCUACAACCUUCCUGACGCGGGUAAUCGGAUGACCCGCCUUCGGAGCCUCUGUAAUCUAACACUCCUUCCGCUGGCUUACCGGUCCACCCCUUUCAGAACUAAUGAUUUAAAAAAAAUGUAAUUAUCAAAACUAGGAUUUAUGCACAUAGGCAGGUGAUGGUAGAUGCUCGUAGUCUUUGUUCCUCCUGUCCUCUUCAGUACCAGAGAAACUGAUCGAUCUUUAGUGUUAGGCUUGCUGGUCUUCUACUGAAACUGUCUUCCCUACUUCCAACUGGAAGUCUCCAUUUGAUUGAAUACUCCCUAAUACACUAAUUUCCUUGUAUGGAUCUUAGUCCUGGCUCCUUCUCCCACUAAGCUGUAAAAUGUCUAAACUUCAGAACACUUGUGACCUAACCUGAUUCCCCCCCCCCCCUUCGAUAUCUACCACAGUCAUAUCAGCAAGUUGCUCUGAACAUAUUAACAAUGAAAUAUGUAUAACCAGGAAUACUGGUAGAUAUUAAUUUUGUGGACUGUAUAGUAAAUUAGUUAUAAUAUACACUUGCAUAAGAGAAGGAAAAUAUAUCAAUAUCGCUCACCAAUUUGACUGGAUAUUAUGUUGCAUCAUACUCGGAAAAACCUCUAAAUUUAUGAAAACACUAGCCAGAAUUAUACACAAAUCUAGAGCUUGUGAGAUUCCUGGAGCUGUCUUGUCCAGUCGUCUGGUAUUUCCAAGUUAUGCAGGAAUGAAUGUCUAACAAUUUCGCCUCCUAUUUGAGGUGUAAGCCCAAUUUUAACCUCUAGCACGAAAAUUCCUUCCCAUUUACACUACGUUGUAGCAAAUUCAAAACUUUAGUUUUUUUUUUUCCCCGAUAACAUACUAAUCUUAAAAAUACAAUAUAGGGUAUAUCUCUACCUAUAAAUUACCGUAUUUCCGGAAAAUAUAUACAGUAUUUUCCACACCCUGUAUAUUUGUUCCUUUUUACUUUAUUCCCCCCUUAGUGCUCUUCCUUCCACCUUGUGGGCACCAGCUCCCUUGCUGUACUAGUUUCUUAGUAUUUGACUGGCCCCUCCUACUCGUACUACCCCCCCCCCACUACAAACUACUCCCACACACACAUAUAUAAUAUAUAUAAUUAUUAUAGUCAUGCUCUCCUUUACUGAAUAAAGAAAUGGUUAUAAAUAACCACUAACUUUUAAAAAAGUGGACAGGUGAGUCAGCGGAAAGCCUGUCAGAUGAGGCUUCAAAGGCAGGUCGUCUGAAUAAGACCCGCGUCAGGGAAAUCUUCGUUUCCUGACUAACCUUGCCUAACUUUCUCGUUAGUUACUUUGUAAAUGGUCCAAAUGGGACCGAAACUUCGUAAGCUCCUCUUUGCAGGUUAUUUGUCUUGUUAAUCACGAUAUUGUGCCCUUUUUGUCUUAUCUGCAGGAUACUCGCACAUGGAGGAAAGAGCGCUUCUACAAUGUUCCCCUCUGUGCCAGUGAUUGUGAAGCUUGGUUUAACGACUGUGCUGCAGACUUCACCUGCACUGACAACUGGUCAAAGAACUUUGAUUGGUCAAAUGGCAGCGAAUGUACAGAUGGAGAAUGCUUUAGAAAUUCCUGCCCAAAAGAAUCUAAAUGUAUGACCUUCCUAGAAAUCUAUGGCAAUGCAUCCAACUUCUGUGAGACGGUAUGGGAUAAUUCUUGGAAAUAUACGUCAGAUUCCGAACCAUGUAUGCGACUGUGGUUCAAUGGUACCGAUGGAAACCCAAAUGAUGCUGUUGCUCUGAAAUAUGCGCACUUGGUUGCUAGCGCCCCUAACCACAGCCACAACAUGUGGUUAACUUCUAUGCUUGUUUUCUGGAUACUACUUAGUGCGUUUUAACUUAGCAUCAAAUUUGCAUAUACCUGUUUCAUAAUUUCUUUAAAAAUUUUUAUACCCAAAUCUAAAAAUUUUAAUAUACGUAUCCUUAAAAUUUUGAAUAGUUAAUCCUGAUUUUUUAGUGUAGGGUAAACUAAGCUAGUUGCCGUAGCCCAGUCUCAUUAAACUGUCCUCUAUUAUAGCCGUAUAACCCUUAUGGGUUUAAUGCUAUUACCCGUAUUACUUGGAAGGCUCUGAAUAAGUUGGGGACUGCAACCUGUUUUUGGCUCAAAAGGUACAAUUAAAUUAUGCUUGAAAGAAAUUAUUCCCUUAGCUUUAAAGUGUAUUAGGUUAGAAUCUGCGAACAUGAGAAUAGGGAGACUAAAUUAGUCUUUAAUUUGGUACACAGUAGGUGAAGAAACUAAGUUUUAUGAUGUCCAUGCAGCCAGUCCUGGCUACCCGGACUUUCCACCUGAAAGUACACCUCGCUAUUCGCCAUGCAGUAAGCUGUGGCAGCUUAGUUGGCCUAUGGCUGUAUUCCUAGGUUUUCUAAAAUAGUGGACAAUGUAUUUAGUCCUAAUAAACUAAUUAGUUUCCUUCCCUUUAACAAGGGCGGCACAACGAAUCUAAUUAAAUUUUGCCGCAGGAAUAAAGGGGAAUUAGACUAGGGUAGGAGCGAGCAAAUUAAAUAAAACUUUACAGUAUUA